GUUCUUCCUACAGGGAUCCAUGCAGAAAAGCACACGACACAAAAUUAUAUACAAUAUAAUCAAUGAAUAUUAACUUCAUGAGGGUGUUGUUGCUUUCGUAUGAUGUCAUUUAAUUGUGAAUGAGCAGAGGCUUAUUGGCCAACAUUUUGAAAACAACUUACAGCCUCCUCAGCAGAUCUUUUGUAUGCUUUGACUUUCAGUUGGAGUUUAUCAACCAGAUCUUGGAGGCGCACAACAUUCUUGCGAUCUUCCUCCGUCUGUAAUUAUAAGGACUAGAGUAUCCUGUUGGGAAAGCCCUUUCUGCAGAUUCGGAUGCCUUCCAGCACACCAUUACAACGCAGCUGGUGCAUCACCAGAGGGUUCUCCAUGGCUCCAGGAGUCUUGGUCUCAUUGGGGAUGAUGCAGCGUACAAAAUGGGGGUGAGCACUAGUGUCCUGCUCUUUCUUCAGCUCUUCUGCCAUCAUGGCCGCAUCGGUGAUGGCCUUGGCCUUCUCCUCAGCAUUCCUGCACUCCUGGAGGGCAUCUUCUACUUCUGUCAGAAGCUGGGAGGUAUCUGCUUCCAGUUUCUUCUUUUGGUUUAUCAGAGAAGUAUUCUAAAUCAAGUGAUUAUUUAGUAGCAAACAGAAAGAUGGUAGAUUGGUAGAUGUCAUGUGUUUCUCUCACUUGUGAAUGCAGCAGCUGCACCCUUUCACUGACAUCCAGCAACUCUUGCUCAGCAAGUUUGUGACUUCUCUCAGUUUGUUCAAGAGCAGCCCUCAGUUCUUCCAGCUCAGUUUGAAUGAGAUUGUUAAGCCUCUCCACAAUAGCAAUGUUCUCUUUCAGAUCAUCAUUGGCUCGGACAGAGUCAUCCAGCUGAAGUUGGCAAUCCUUCAUAUGAUAACUUCCAAUAGAUACAUAUUAACAUAAAAAAUAUCACAUAAGACAAUGCCAUGUUAGGCAAGGUAAUUUUGUCCAUUACAUGUGGACCUAAUUAUUGCUACCUAUCUGUUAAUGAAAAAAAAAAAAAAACUGAAAAAGAAGAAGUAAUUUCUUUGCUCCUCUUCUUUCCCCUGUAGGCAACAACCACCUCUCGGUCGUAGACUGGCAGCCACUUGUAAGGGUUGACAGUCACACAGAACAAUCCGGAGUAGGUCUAACGAAAAAACAACUUUUAAAUUGCGCGACAUUAAGUAAUGACAGGAAAACGAAUAUGAUUAUCUUACAUAGAUCAUCCAUGCCGCAUAACGCUCUUUGAGGUUAAACAGCACAGCGGGCUCGUGGAGGAAGGUCAACAUCGCCAUGUCUUCUAUCUUGUCAAAUUUUGGAGGAUUCUGUUGCAGAAUCUCGGCGCUUUUGACGGUCACCGUCUAUGGAACACAGUAUAACCGUCAAAUGCCACCGAAGAAGCAUACUGGGAACCACACAGCUCAAACGUCCAAGCAUGCUGGGUAAUUAAUUGACACUGCCCCCGUCUCGACUUGUGACGGAAGCCUUUACAAACUCUUCUACCGCAUCAGGGACGAAACAUUCCUUUUUUAUGUCGAAGAUGCGAGUGGAAGCCUCCAUCCGCUGCUGCCCCGUACACAGACAUCUCUGCAUCUCCCAUAGCUUCACUGUAAAUGGAGAGAAUAAGGACAUCACAGAUGGAAAAUCUUUCCCCUUCACACACAAUUUAAUGUUUUGUUAAUUACAAAUAAAAAAAAUAUCAAACAGUAA